rnacentral:rRNA from 1 species
GGGGAAUAUUGGGCAAUGGGCGAAAGCCUGACCCAGCAACGCCGCGUGAGGGAAGAAGGUUUUCGGAUUGUAAACCUCUGUCCCAUGGGACGAAAAAAAUGACGGUACCAUGGGAGGAAGCCCCGGCUAACUACGUGCCAGCAGCCGCGGUAAUACGUAGGGGGCGAGCGUUGUCCGGAAUGACUGGGCGUAAAGGGCGCGUAGGCGGCUUUUUAAGUUUGGAGUGAAAGUCCUGCUUUCAAGGUGGGAAUUGCUUUGAAAACUGGAGAGCUUGAGUGCGGAAGAGGUAAGUGGAAUUCCCAGUGUAGCGGUGAAAUGCGUAGAGAUUGGGAGGAACACCAGUGGCGAAGGCGACUUACUGGGCCGUAACUGACGCUGAGGCGCGAAAGCGUGGGGAGCGAACA